GAUGAACGCUGGCGGCGUGCCUAAUACAUGCAAGUCGAGCGAACGGACGAGAAGCUUGCUUCUCUGAUGUUAGCGGCGGACGGGUGAGUAACACGUGGAUAACCUACCUAUAAGACUGGGAUAACUUCGGGAAACCGGAGCUAAUACCGGAUAAUAUUUUGAACCGCAUGGUUCAAAAGUGAAAGACGGUCUUGCUGUCACUUAUAGAUGGAUCCGCGCUGCAUUAGCUAGUUGGUAAGGUAACGGCUUACCAAGGCAACGAUGCAUAGCCGACCUGAGAGGGUGAUCGCCCACCCUGGAACGGGAAAACGGCCCAGCCCCCUAGGGGGGGCGGCGUUGGGGAAUUUUCCCCAUGGGGGGAAGCCCUACCGGGCCACCCCCGGGGGGGUAAUGAAGUCUUCGGGUUCGAAAAACUCUUUUUUUGGGAAAAAAAAUAUUUGUAAGUAACUGUGCCCACUUGGCCGGUCCCUAAUAAGAAAGCCCCGGCUACCUCCGU
rnacentral:rRNA from 1 species